GGGGCUUGCCGUACAAGCAAUUGACUCUGUCUGUUUUGUUUGUUUAUUUUGUUCUUUGUUAUUUUGCUGGAUUCGAUAAUGGAGUAUAAGUGCUUGGGAUUACCUGACAAUUAUAUCCUUGGAAAAAAUCAAUGUUGUGGUGUGUUUUGUGAUGGCAAGUCAAAAGCCCGAAAAUACCUGUCGCUGGAUUUGAAGGCAAGGAUUUUUCGAGAAGUACCUGUGCUGUGAAUUUCAGUUUUGCAAUUUGGAGGCCGUCCAGUUUUUCUGUUCUUGUGUUUUUCCAUAGUUAUUUAAUUGAACGAAUGCAUUUUUCGCUGCAGUUGCAGGGGGGGCUGCUGCAGCAGCCGAGAACCACAGUGGUCAGUGUCUGUUUCAUUGGGUUGCUGAGUGCUACUGUUGAAGAAGACUUGGUGUUGUUUGGGUUGCUUGACUGGUGGUGGUGGUGGCAGUGCCUAAAGCUCUUAUCGUUUGUGUUGGUUCAGUCAGUUGAGUUUAAGCCACAAAGCGCUCACGUUGUGCCUUAUUGUCGUUGUCGUAGCCGCUCGUAGUAACCAAAGUGGAAAGAAAUUAAAGCCCAAAGCGAAUCGCCACUAAGUUUUGCUUAAAGUCGUCUUGUGAGUGAGUGCUUUUUGUGGGACUCUUAAAGCGGCCCCUUAAGAAGACCAAAAAAAAAAAACAAACUAAGAAAAGUUGUCGGAAGGCCUAAAAUACAGGAAAAACGUCAACAAUGGCUAAACUUUGAAACUAUUACCGCAAAAAAGCCCCCAGGCCCCCUGCCUUCUAGUCGACCAUUAGUGCUUCUUUAAAAUAACAAUAAGUGAGCAAACACGCUCAUGAACGGACACUCUCCGACAAACACUUGCCGUUUUUUUUUGGUUUUUCACAUUUGGAUUGCAUACUUGUUGGCUAGGCUAUUUGCUCAUAGAUUACCCCGCCUGCCGUCUUCCGCCUCUUCUAGCUCUACCGUCCGUUCGCCUUUGAAGUCAAGCAUAGUGAGUGAGUGUAAAGUGCGAAUUUAGCAACGUCAAAAAUAAAACAACAACUAUCAAACUCUGUAUAAUUUCGUUAAGCAUUGCCGACCCAAAACAUUAAGAAAUCAACUUUAAUACCAAAAAGCCAACCGACCGACAACAUUGCUAUAUCAGUGUGCAACGAGUGUGUGUCUCUCUGUGUGUGUGUGUGUGAAUGAGCAUCUCUUUCAAGAGUUGAAACGCGGCAGCUGAGCGAAUCACAGAAGAGACACAACAUUUAACAAAGUUCGUCUUUGACCGUUCGUUCCCAGUGAGCUUAAGUUGUUGACGUUAGCGUCUAAAGUGUCUCCGUCAACGUUUUGCUUGGCUUAAACAAAAAACGUUAAGAUUUAGUACCAAUUCGUCGUUGUACUGAAACACUUGAUUGUGAGGCGUGAAGCGAGCGUUGAGAACUUGCAGAAGCAACAAAAAACAAAAAUUGUAACUAAACAAAAAAUCUAAAAAAUUAUAUUCUUAAGAUUUCAAAGUUCGAAGCUUAACCCCUUAACGGUUUAGUAAAGAGACGAAAACGAAAUAGAAGCAGAAGAUACAAAAAAAGUGAACGCAUUUGCGUGUGUGAAGUGAGUGUGUGGGGAGACGAACGAACGCACGAGUGAACGGUGGAGCAUGUGUGCCAAUUGCUGGUGAGAGGGUGACAAAAUCAAUCACAAUUGCAAUUGCAAAUGUAAUCAGUUCGCGUUUGUGUCUUAAAUCUUUUGUUUUUUUUUUGUUUUGGAAAGGAAACGUAUCUUCGGCAAUAAACUAAAUUUGAUUUUGUAAAACCCUUAAAGCCCCGAUAUGAAAUUAAAAACAUGCACCCACGAUUGUUGUUAAAAUAAAAUUAUUACAUAAAAUACUCAAACAUCGUAUCGAAGAAAGAAGCAAAAAAUAAAAAAAAAAACGCAACGCAAAAUUUGUUGUUCAACCACCACCAAAAGAAGCAAACUAAAAUAAAAAGAGCAAUAAACAAAACUUGAUCGAUGAAGAAAAGAAAUAACAGUUGUUACACAUUUCAAAGUAACACCAACAAAAAUCGGCAAAUUCAUCAGUGAAAAAAACGACCUUUCUUUGGGGAUUUACUACGUUUGGUUGUGUUUUUUCUUUUUCUAAGGGGACGUUUGGCCUUUUUUUUAAUUACAGUCAUCCCAAAAACAGCACUCGGCGAAAAUAUUGAACUGUUUCUUGGUGGUUAACAACAAAAAUGCAAAUGAAAUUUGAAAAAAAUAUAAAAUGAUCGUUGGUCCAAAUAAAUAUGUGCAAAUAAUUCAACUUCUUCCUUAAAAAAAUUAA
rnacentral:sRNA from 1 species